UUUUUUAUUUUUUUGGCCAUGACCCGGUAGUCUUUGGCCGCACUUUGUGCUGCUGGCAUUACACUAUCCGCCACCCAUAAUAGAAAGAUAGUUCGUCUUUGUAUCUGUGGCAUAGCGGCACCUGUGAAUACAUGGGCAGUACCAUUGAGCGCUAUCUCAAUUUUAAACAUGAUUUCUGCCGCGAUCAAAACAACUGGAAACUCGGAACUGGGGAAUCUCGGACUUCUUUGUCUUGAAAGCACCAUAAAUCCAGAGAUUGCCAGACUUUGAUGACAACAUUUGCCCACAAGAAGGACCGUCGCGCAACCUUCCUGUUCAAGUGAGCACAGCACAGCGAUGAGUCCUAAAAUGCCUUGUAUGCUGCUGCAUAAAUGAUGUAAUAUGCCAUGGAGAUAUGUAUACUGUAGCUAAGAAAGUAAUACUAAGUGUAGUAAGGUGUUAAUAGUCCAUGUGCCUCACCCUAAUACUUUGGUCCCUUUCCCCCUCAUAAUUUAGCCUAAUGUUCAGACUUGGUGGUGGAUGUACAAGAUUUACAUGCGAAAAUCGCCACUGAUCACUGCCCUCUAGUGGCCCCAACAAAUGAAUGCAUUUUCUUCUAAUUAUUUUGGUUAGGGACUCCCAGUGGCGAUUUUAGCAUGGAAAUCUUGGUGGGGUAAAGUAAACUUUUUUUCUUUUGGGAUACAUGCCAGCAAAGCCACUGCACAACACAACACUAAACAAUACAUUAAUUGCACUAUAACGGUGACAAACGGUGCACACAAACUGUUAGUGUCUACAUAAAGCUGUCCCAACAGCAGAGCUUUCUUUUAAGCAUAAUGGAGUGAAUCCUUACCACCGCUAUACCUGGCUAUCAGCAGAGACUUGUCUGGCAGCGAAACAGUUCAUUCAGCCUCAUUUACUGCCUUUUAAAAAAAACAUAGCAGAUAUGGCUAAUUUUAUUAAUUAAUUUGAUAUGCGACCUGUACGCUCUCGUUGGCUGGCCCUCGCUUCAUACUCGUCGCCAAACCCACUGGCUCCAGGUCAUCUACAAGACCCUGCCAGGUAAAGUCCCGCCUUAUCUCUGCUCGCUGGUCACCAUUGCUGCACCCACCCGUAGCACGUGUUCCAGCAGGUAUAUCUCACUUGUCACCCCCAAAGCCAAUUCCUCCUUUGGCCGCCUCUCCUUCCAGUUCUCUGCUGCCAAUGACUGGAACGAACUACAAAAAUCUCUGAAACUGGAAACACUUAUCUCCCUCACUAGCUUUAAGCACCAGCUGUCAGAGCAGCUCACAGAUCACUGCACCUGUACAUAGCCCAUCUAUAAUUUAGCCCAAACAACUACCUCUUCCCCUACUGUAUUUAUUUAUUUUGCUCCUUUGCACCCCAGUAUUUCUACUUUGCACACGCAUCUACUGUCAAAUCUACCAUUCCAAUGUUUUAAUUGCUAUAUUGUAUUUACUUUGCCACCAUGGCCUUUUUUGCCUUUACCUCC
rnacentral:lncRNA from 1 species